ensembl:snoRNA SNORD115 Small nucleolar RNA SNORD115
GGGUCGAUAAUGAGACCUCAUACUGUCUUGAUGAGAGAUGAUGAAUCAUCUAAACAUGAUGAUCAUGCUCAACAGGUUAUGCUGAGGCCC